UUUCAGCUGAGGAGUCCCACAAUAGGACGAAACCGCCGUCAAA
rnacentral:hammerhead_ribozyme from 1 species